rnacentral:rRNA from 1 species
GAUGAACGCUGGCGGCGUGCCUAAUACAUGCAAGUCGAGCGAACAGACGAGGAGCUUGCUCCUCUGACGUUAGCGGCGGACGGGUGAGUAACACGUGGAUAACCUACCUAUAAGACUGGGAUAACUUCGGGAAACCGGAGCUAAUACCGGAUAAUAUAUUGAACCGCAUGGCUCAAUAGUGAAAGACGGUUUUGCUGUCACUUAUAGAUGGAUCCGCGCCGCAUUAGCUAGUUGGUAAGGUAACGGCUUACCAAGGCGACGAUGCGUAGCCGACCUGAGAGGGUGAUCGGCCACACUGGAACUGAGACACGGUCCAGACUCCUACGGGAGGCAGCAGUAGGGAAUCUUCCGCAAUGGGCGAAAGCCUGACGGAGCAACGCCGCGUGAGUGAUGAAGGUCUUCGGAUCGUAAAACUCUGUUAUUAGGGAAGAACAAAUGUGUAAGUAACUAUGCACGUCUUGACGGUACCUAAUCAGAAAGCCACGGCUAACUACGU